AAUCUCUCCCGGGGAAGAAAACAAUCAACCAGAAUGAGGAAACUAGCAAGUCUCCUGUUUUCUGACUGACGGAUUCAGGCUCAGUUUGUUUUCUUUCUUCCAAUUUGUUUAUCAGAUACAUUUGGACAUUGGACAACGUCGCCCCCAGAUGUACAGCUGCUGGAACUGCAUGAUGAAGGCCGUUUGGUCCGCUUCGGUCUGGACUGCAGAGUAACAGCGAACCAACCCAAGUGGAGCUGCAGCUGCCUGCGGGAAAGCAAACAGCAUUGACAGCUGUGAUAGCGGAGAGGAGAAACAGCAGGAGAGCAGAACCACCGGAGAUAAGAGGAGAACCGCAGAGGAGGACCUAGACGUUACAGGGGAGUACAAAUUCUUCUGCGGCCCUUCCAGUGGAGACCGGAGGAUCUGAAGCUUUCUCCUGCAGAAGAGGCAAGAAAACCAGCAACCUGGAGGAGGAACAGCAAGAGGUCCAGCGGGCCCCCCAGCACCAUGUGAGUACCAGAGCGCUGAAGGGAUAAGGAGGGAUGACACGAACGCAUGGUACUAAACCCAAUCAUAGGAAUGUUGCUCACCAGUAUGUUGAGUUGAAAGCACAUGU
rnacentral:lncRNA from 1 species